rnacentral:rRNA from 1 species
UACGUAGGGGGCAAGCGUUGUCCGGAAUCAUUGGGCGUAAAGAGCGUGUAGGCGGCCAGGUAGGUCUGCUGUGAAAACUCGAGGCUUAACCUCGAGCUGUCGGCGGAAACCAUCUGGCUAGAGUCCGGAAGAGGAGAAUGGAAUUCCCGGUGUAGCGGUGAAAUGCGCAGAUAUCAGGAGGAACACCCGUGGCGAAAGCGGCUCUCUGGGACGGUACUGACGCUGAGACGCGAAAGCGUGGGGAGCAAACAGG